rnacentral:tRNA from 4 species
GCGCCCGUAGCUCAAUUGGAUAGAGCGUCUGACUACGGAUCAGAAGGUUGGGAGUUCGAGUCUUCCCGGGCGCGCCA